UAGAGUUUGAUCAUGGCUCAGGAUGAACGCUAGCGGCAGGCUUAACACAUGCAAGUCGAAGGGCAUCGCGGGGAGUGCUUGCACUCCCUGGCGGCGACUGGCGCACGGGUGAGUAACACGUAUGCAACCUGCCCUCCACAGGGGGACAACCUUCCGAAAGGGAGGCUAAUCCCGCGUAAAUCUCGAUGGGGCAUCCCAUUGAGAGGAAAGCUUCGGCGGUGGAGGAUGGGCAUGCGGCGCAUUAGCUAGUCGGCGGGGUAACGGCCCACCGAGGCGACGAUGCGUAGGGGUUCUGAGAGGAAGGUCCCCCACACUGGUACUGAGACACGGACCAGACUCCUACGGGAGGCAGCAGUGAGGAAUAUUGGUCAAUGGGCGCGAGCCUGAACCAGCCAAGUCGCGUGAGGGAAGACGGUCCUAUGGAUUGUAAACCUCUUUUGUCGGGGAGCAAAAGACGCCACGUGUGGCGUUCCGAGAGUACCCGAAGAAAAAGCAUCGGCUAACUCCGUGCCAGCAGCCGCGGUAAUACGGAGGAUGCGAGCGUUAUCCGGAUUUAUUGGGUUUAAAGGGUGCGCAGGCGGAAGAUCAAGUCAGCGGUAAAAUUGAGAGGCUCAACCUCUUCGAGCCGUUGAAACUGGUUUUCUUGAGUGAGCGAGAAGUAUGCGGAAUGCGUGGUGUAGCGGUGAAAUGCAUAGAUAUCACGCAGAACUCCGAUUGCGAAGGCAGCAUACCGGCGCUCAACUGACGCUCAUGCACGAAAGUGUGGGUAUCGAACAGGAUUAGAUACCCUGGUAGUCCACACAGUAAACGAUGAAUACUAAUUGUUCGGGGAGAAUGAUCCCUGAGUGAUACAGCGAAAGCGUUAAGUAUUCCACCUGGGGAGUACGCCGGCAACGGUGAAACUCAAAGGAAUUGACGGGGGCCCGCACAAGCGGAGGAACAUGUGGUUUAAUUCGAUGAUACGCGAGGAACCUUACCCGGGCUCAAACGACACAGGAACGUACCUGAAAGGGUUCGGCUCUACGGAGCCUGUGUCGAGGUGCUGCAUGGUUGUCGUCAGCUCGUGCCGUGAGGUGUCGGCUUAAGUGCCAUAACGAGCGCAACCCCCAUCGACAGUUGCUAACAGGUCAGGCUGAGGACUCUGUCGAGACUGCCGGCGCAAGCUGCGAGGAAGGCGGGGAUGACGUCAAAUCAGCACGGCCCUUACGUCCGGGGCGACACACGUGUUACAAUGGCAGGUACAGCGGGAAGCCACCUGGCGACAGGGAGCGGAACCCGAAAGCCUGUCUCAGUUCGGAUUGGAGUCUGCAACCCGACUCCAUGAAGCUGGAUUCGCUAGUAAUCGCGCAUCAGCCACGGCGCGGUGAAUACGUUCCCGGGCCUUGUACACACCGCCCGUCAAGCCAUGGAAGCCGGGGGUGCCUGAAGUGCGCUGCCGCGAGGAGCGCCCUAGGGUAAAACCGGUGACUGGGGCUAAGUCGUAACAAGGUAACCGUA
rnacentral:rRNA from 1 species